rnacentral:lncRNA from 1 species
GUGUUAGAUUCAAUUUACUAUAUUAGUGGAAGAUGGGACGGGUUGGGUUGGGGAUGGGGUUUCUGAAAAUUGACUUGUAUGCCUUUUCGUCUUUUUUUAUUUGGCCGUAAAAUCGGUCAAUCUGUCUAAAUAUAUAAUUUGUAUAGCUGUCUUGAUAUAUUUUUUGUUUAUCUUUUUAGUUGUUCUAUUUUUUCUUGCGUCCUCAAUUUUAACUUUAUUGAUAUUGCUCUAUUAAUAUUGCUGUUCAUAAUUAUGUA